rnacentral:rRNA from 1 species
CGGACGGGUGAGUAAUGUCUGGGAAACUGCCUGAUGGAGGGGGAUAACUACUGGAAACGGUAGCUAAUACCGCAUAACGUCGCAAGACCAAAGAGGGGGACCUUCGGGCCUCUUGCCAUCGGAUGUGCCCAGAUGGGAUUAGCUAGUAGGUGGGGUAACGGCUCACCUAGGCGACGAUCCCUGGCUGGUCUGAGAGGAUGACCAGCCACACUGGAACUGAGACACGGUCCAG